UGGGGCAUAUUGAACAAUGGGCGAAAGCCUGAUCCAGCCAUGCCGCGUGUGUGAAGAAGGUCUUCGGAUUGUAAAGCACUUUAAGUUGGGAGGAAGGGCUGCAAGUUAAUAACUUGUAGUUUUGACGUUACAAACAGAAUAAGCCCCGGCUAACUUCGUGCCAGCAGCCGCGGUAAUACGAAGGGUGCAAGCGUUAAUCGGAAUUACUGGGCGUAAAGCGCGCGUAGGUGGUUUGGUGAGAUGGAUGUGAAAUCUCCGGUCUCAACCUGGGAACUGCAUCCAUAACUGCCUGACUAGAGUACGGUAGAGGGUGGUGGAAUUUCCUGGGUAGCGGUGAAAUGCGUAGA
rnacentral:rRNA from 1 species